GUGACAUUUCUGCAAGUCGGUAUCCCAGAGUUUCUCUUGGGGGUAGCGGGCUCCUGGCCGGCCCAAUGAGCUGGUCCCUGAGAACCCAGAUCUCAAGUAGAGACUUCAUUUCUUCUUCCUCUCACAAGCCAAAUUUGCCUCCACCCACUCCUUCCUCCAAAGAACUGGGCAUUUGCCAAAGUAAUCACUGGAGUCAUCCAAUGCCCCUCCCCUCCCCAGGUUUCCCACAGCUUUCAGGGAUAGUGGGCAAGAGGACCCCCCACCCCGACACACCCCCCCCACAAUGGAACACGACAUUUCUCCUCCCCCUGAGCAGUGCACUCAAUGCAGCGAGACUGACUCCUGACCUUUAUCCAGCCCUUCCCACCUUGAACAGGAAGGAAGUAAUGCACCUUCUCUCGCUGAUUAUUUAUUUGUUUGGAGAGACAGAAAUGAU
rnacentral:lncRNA from 1 species